GCUGGGUGUGGUGGCUCAUGCUUGUAAUCCCAGCCACUCAGGAGGCUAAGACAGGAGGAUUACGAAUCCAGUGCCAACCCCAGCAAUUUAGUGAGGCCCUGAGCAACUUAGUGAGACCCUGUCUUAA
rnacentral:sRNA from 1 species